UUGGAGGGCAAGUCUGGUGCCAGCAGCCGCGGUAAUUCCAGCUCCAAUAGCGUAUAUUAAAGUUGUUGCAGUUAAAAAGCUCGUAGUUGAACUUCGGGGUUUACCCAUUGGUCAGGCUUAAUUGUCUGUACUGGUGAGAUAAAUCUCUACCUUCUGAGGAACUUUCAUGCCAUUUAGUUGGUGUGAUAGGAAAUCAGGACUGUUACUUUGAAAAAAUUAGAGUGUUUAAAGCAGGCUAACGUCUGAAUACAUUAGCAUGGAAUAAUGAAAUAGGACGGAUUGGUUCUAUUUCGUUGGUUUCUAGGAUCACCGUAAUGAUUAAUAGGGAUAGUUGGGGGCAUUAGUAUUCAAUUGUCAGAGGUGAAAUUCUUGGAUUUAUUGAAGACUAACUAUUGCGAAAGCAUUUGCCAAGGAUGUUUUCAUUAAUCAAGAACGAAAGUUAGGGGAUCGAAGACGAUCAGAUACCGUCGUAGUCUUAACCAUAAACUAUGCCGACUAGGGAUCGGACGAAGUUAAUUUUAUAAUGACGCGUUCGGCGCCUUACGGGAAAC
rnacentral:rRNA from 1 species